GACGAACGCUGGCGGCGUGCUUAACACAUGCAAGUCGAACGGAAAGGCCCUGCUUUUGUGGGGUGCUCGAGUGGCGAACGGGUGAGUAACACGUGAGUAACCUGCCCUUGACUUUGGGAUAACUUCAGGAAACUGGGGCUAAUACCGGAUAGGAGCUCCUGCUGCAUGGUGGGGGUUGGAUAGUUUCGGCGGUUGGGGAUGGACUCGCGGCUUAUCAGCUUGUUGGUGGGGUAGUGGCUUAUCAAGGCUUUGACGGGUAGCCGGCCUGAGAGGGUGACCGGCCACAUUGGGACUGAGAUACGGCCCAGACUCCUACGGGAGGCAGCAGUGGGGAAUAUUGCACAAUGGGCGGAAGCCUGAUGCAGCAACGCCGCGUGCGGGAUGACGGCCUUCGGGUUGUAAACCGCUUUCGCCUGUGACGAAGCGUGAGUGACGGUAAUGGGUAAAGAAGCACCGGCUAACUACGUG
rnacentral:rRNA from 1 species